CGGCAACAGCUCAAAUUUGAAAUCUGGCGUCUUUGGCGUCCGAGUUGUAAUUUGCAGAGGGCGCUUUGGCGUUGGCAGCGGUCCAAGUUCCUUGGAACAGGACGUCACAGAGGGUGAGAAUCCCGUACGUGGUCGCUGGCCUUCGCCGUGUAAAGCCCCUUCGACGAGUCGAGUUGUUUGGGAAUGCAGCUCUAAAUGGGAGGUAAAUUUCUUCUAAAGCUAAAUACUGGCCAGAGACCGAUAGCGCACAAGUAGAGUGAUCGAAAGAUGAAAAGCACUUUGGAAAGAGAGUCAAACAGCACGUGAAAUUGUUAAAAGGGAAGCGCUUGCAACCAGACUUGCCUGCAGUUGCUCAUCUGGACUUUUGUCCAGUGCAUUCUUCUGUAGGCAGGCCAGCAUCAGUUUGGGCGGUUAGAUAAAGGUCUCUGUCAUGUACCUCUCUUCGGGGAGAACUUAUAGGGGAGACGACAUGUAACCAGCCUGGACUGAGGUCCGCGCAUUUGCUAGGAUGCUGGCGUAAUGGUUGUAAGCGGCCCGUCUUGAAACACGGACCAAGGAGUCUAACAUCUAUGCGAGUGUUUGGGUGUCAAGCCCGAGCGCGCAAUGAAAGUGAACGGAGGUGGGAACCCGCAAGGGUGCACCAUCGACCGAUCCUGAUGUCUUCGGAUGGAUUUGAGUAAGAGCAUAGCUGUUGGGACCCGAAAGAUGGUGAACUAUGCUUGAAUAGGGUGAAGCCAGAGGAAACUCUGGUGGAGGCUCGCA
rnacentral:rRNA from 1 species